rnacentral:rRNA from 1 species
AGCUUGCUCUGGUUCCUGAGAGUGGCGCACGGGUGCGUAACGCGUGAGCAACCUACCUCUAUCAGGGGGAUAGCCUCUCGAAAGAGAGAUUAACACCGCAUAAUAUAAUGUACCGGCAUCGGGAUAUUAUUAAAUAUUUAUAGGAUAGAGAUGGGCUCGCGUGACAUUAGCUAGUUGGUAGGGUAACGGCUUACCAAGGCGACGAUGUCUAGGGGCUCUGAGAGGAGAAUCCCCCACACUGGUACUGAGACACGGACCAGACUCCUACGGGAGGCAGCAGUAAGGAAUAUUGGUCAAUGGGCGGAAGCCUGAACCAGCCAUGCCGCGUGCAGGAUGACUGCCCUAUGGGUUGUAAACUGCUUUUGUCCAGGAAUAAACCUAGAUACGUGUAUCUAGCUGAAUGUACUGGAAGAAUAAGGAUCGGCUAACUCCGUGCCAGCAGCCGCGGUAAUACGGAGGAUCCGAGCGUUAUCCGGAUUUAUUGGGUUUAAAGGGUGCGUAGGCGGCCUAUUAAGUCAGGGGUGAAAUACGGUGGCUCAACCAUCGCAGUGCCUUUGAUACUGAUGGGCUUGAAUCCAUUUGAAGUGGGCGGAAUAAGACAAGUAGCGGUGAAAUGCAUAGAUAUGUCUUAGAACUCCGAUUGCGAAGGCAGCUCACUAAGCUGGUAUUGACGCUGAUGCACGAAAGCGUGGGGAUCGAACAGGAUUAGAUACCCUGGUAGUCCACGCCCU